rnacentral:rRNA from 2 species
UACAGAGGCCUCGAGCGUUAAUCGGAGUCACUGGGCUUAAAGGGUGCGUAGGCGGGUCCGCAAGUGCCUUGUGAAAUCCCACGGCUCAACCGUGGAAUGGCUCGGCAGACUGCGGGUCUUGAGGUCGGUAGGGGUCGCUGGAACUCUAGGUGGAGCGGUGAAAUGCGUAGAUAUCUAGAGGAACGCCAAAGGUGAAGACAAGCGACUGGGCCGAUUCUGACGCUGAGGCACGAAAGCGUGGGGAGCGAACGGG